rnacentral:rRNA from 1 species
UACGAAGGGGGCUAGCGUUGCUCGGAAUCACUGGGCGUAAAGCGCACGUAGGCGGCUUUUUAAGUCAGGGGUGAAAUCCUGGAGCUCAACUCCAGAACUGCCUUUGAUACUGAGGAUCUUGAGUUCGGGAGAGGUGAGUGGAACUGCGAGUGUAGAGGUGAAAUUCGUAGAUAUUCGGCGGAACACCAGUGGCGAAGGCGACUCACUGGCCCGAUACUGACGCUGAGACGGCGAAAAGCGUGGGGAGCGAACAGG